GAGUGGUGCCAUGUUAACCCCAGGAUCCAAACCUGCGAAACCCUGGGCUGCUGGAGCGGAGCACGCAAACUCCCUCCCCUUCUUCUAAGAUAAGCCCCCUCGGUUUCCAGAGCAGCCUGGGAAGGGAGGGGCCCUCACAGCGACUGGAUUGAAUCUCCCACUAGACGCUUGGAUUGGCAGCUCAGAGUUGGAUUUUAUGUUUAAAGAAAAUAAAGCUAAAUUUUCCAGCUUGAGGUUCCCUAUUACACUGUUCAAUUCCAAAAUACAAGCCUAAUGGAGAGCUAGCACCUGCCCUUGUGCCAGGUUUCAGCCACGUGGCUCCCCGCUAACGCUCUCCCUGUGAGUAGUUGAGAUCCACAGCUCUGGUCAGCUCUGAGGAAGGGCUCACGGAGGAUGGCAGCCACACUCUAGAGAGGUGGGGAUGUCAGACCUGUGGACAGAAGUUGUGACCUCUGACCCAACCAUGUAGGUCAGCCAGACCUCUGGGCUGGCAGUCCCAGAUUGUGGGACUGAGCCGUAAAACUGAGCCUCCUGUCGGACUCCAGAACACCUUCCUUUCCAGGUGGAAUCCACCACUUUGGGCUGGCAUCUCUCUGUAACGAAAGGACGGUGGAUGGGCAGGGGGAGGGCAGCCUCAUGGGUGAAAGGCUCGGGAAAGGGGUGGGAAGCCGGCUCAGGAAGCCCGUGAGGCUUUGAAAAAGGAAAAGAAAUAGAGCCGGUGAUCAUCUCCUCCCUGUAGCUGCAGCACAGUUGAUGUCGACUUUGGGCUGGGUUGCUUUUGAAAAUAGAACAUUUCCCCCGCGAAUAAGCUAGCAGAGCGCUGUUUCUCUUUUUAUCGGAGGGCGUGGAUGACAUAGUUCUGUCAACACUUUGCUGUGUUUUUUUCAACCGUAGUUCUUUCAUCUCCUCACACUUCUCAGCUACAGAUUUGUUUUUCAUAUUCACUCCUCUCUCUCCCAUUUCCUUAUUUCUAUAGGUGUUUAGGUCCUUCUAACAAGCUCAGCACAAAGCUACUGCCAUUUAUUGAGUGCCAACUGUGUGCCAGGUCUACACGCUACAUCUGGUACCCAUUUGGCUGAGAAGGGGGCAGAAACAGGGUGGUUAAUUGAAUGCUUGGCACAGGGCUACAAGAAGGAAACUGAGGAGAAAGACAAGAACUGGGGGAGUUUGGAGAACAUGGUAAGUCAGAGCCUCUGCACAGUGCCGGAACGUCACAACCUCCUUCCCUCCACGUGGUUUCUGUCCAGAAAUAGAGCCUCGAGAAGGCCACGGGAAGGACCUUGGUGACAUUCUGAAACUAGAUUGUAACUUCUGCUUCAGCGUAAGCCCACAGUGGUCCAGCUUCCUUUCACAGGGGCCAAGGCUUCUCAGCAGGUGGCCAGUCACGAGGCCCUGCUUGAGGGGAGAGGAGAAGGACAGGGCUGCGAGAGAUCACCUGUGUCUCUCUUGCACUCAUCCAGUGUGGAGUCGGGUCUCUCAUUCUGCAGCGGGAAUUUUGGCUCCAGACCCUGGUCUGCUUCCAGGAUGCCGAGCAGAAGUCAAAGUGAAGUGGCAUUGCUUGGAAUCCCCAUUUCUGGCCGCGGCCCAGGACCAGCCCAGCUGUGGCAGGGGUGCUCGCUGCCUGCCUCUCUACACCUCUGACUUGAGAGACCAAAACUCUCACGGGCCUUAGAGUCACAAAGUUUGGGCUUGAAAUUGCAGCUCCUACUCUUUGUCAUCAAGUGCCUAUUCAUUUUGGAGCCUCAGUUUCCCCAUCUGUAAAAUGUGACAAGUCACAUUAUUCUGAAGAGUAAAUGAAACGAUUCAAGACACACAUCAGCUCUGCCGCCUCUAAGGACUCCACAAGUUACUUCAUUCAUUCCACAAAACCCUAAGAGGAAGAUAGUAUUGUCAUCACCCUCAGAAUCCCUGUUUGAUGGAGAAGGAAACUGAGGCAGGGAGAAGGCAAAUGACUUGUCCAUGAUCUUACAGCCAGGAAGUGUCAGAGUGUCAGAGUCAAGACUCCAGGCAGGGAUUCGGGCCUGCAGCCUGCAGAUCUGGGCUGUGCUUGCCUGCCUGUUGUAAGGCCGGAAAGCUCCUGGCCCCACACCUGGCUGGAGAAGACACACACUGGACACUGGCCCUUACUCUGACUACCUCAGGGCUGCCGGGGCUGCCCAGGGAUUGUUCUGGCUGCCAUCUGGAAGGACAAUGACAUGGCAGCCAGCAAACAGUACAAGAAUGAGACAUGAGGAGGGGAGGCUAGGUCGAGGAGGACACAUGGAGGAACUCCCACAAGCAAGGUAAGUGGGGACCAUCACGGGUGGGGGAGAGGACACGGGAACUAGAGUCACCAGGCCUGCUCCAGGCUGCUCCCGGCCCAGCCACGGCUUUCCUUGCUGGGUGGUCUUGAAAUCCACAUAGUCUGUUUCUGACCAGCUCUGAGGAAUUGGCCACAGUCAGCCCUGACGGCUUGCCCUGGCAGCGUGCUGCUGUCUUCUCUAAACAUCUCCAGCUUUAGGGCUCCUCCAUCGGAUAGAUACCCUCCAGCCGCUCGGUGCUUUCAAGUGGGCCCCGCAUGCUCCGGGGCUUGGCUGCCAUCCCUGCCUCUCCUUGAAGAGAGCAGAGUCUCUAAUUUGGGUCCUGCCCACACCCCUCCCUGCCCGCUGCCCACACACUGUCAUUACAGCUGUGGUGUCGCUGCUCCCGGCACAGACCAAGGUUUCCUUGCCGAAGGAGGCAGCCACAGCACCCACUGGCUGCCCCCCAUGGACUUCAUGCAACCCUGCUAAGGGUGACCCACUUGGGUGCUGUGGACAGGGCAGCUCAUGGGGAGAGUGACUUGAAGAAGGAGAAAGAGCACUCACUGGGUAGAUUUGAAGCAAUCACACUUAUUGGCCUGCCCGAGACACCUCACUCCCAAAAGAACAGUGAGCAAAGAAGCCAGAGUGAGGAAGGAUGGGGGAGAGAGGUCUCAGGGAGCAUGCUGUGUGGCUGGCCAUGGCUCAGUCCACAAUUCUUUAUGUGUUUUAUGCACGUGUAUAAUCAGGUUGAGCUCUCUGGGCCUUGGAGGGGUGUUCUCACGUGUCACCGCACAGACCUCACCUCCCGGGGGCAGAGGCAUCGGGCAGGAUGGGAUCUGGGGUCAGACCUAGGUGUGAGCUCUGGCUCGGCAAGUUAGUUCCCUGCUUUCAACUUCAGUUUCUCCUAAUGACAACAGGGAUCACAAUGCCACUCUCACAUGAAAACAAGUCACCUAUACUACCUGGCACACAGUAGGUCCUCAAGAAAAGAUAUGCCCUAUUUGAGGAAGUUAAUGAAGGUCUUUGGCAUCCCCUCCCACUCCUGUGUAAAUGUUUUGGGAUAGCUUACCUUCUUGGCUUCUCGCCUUCUUACCUCUGACCUUCUACCCAGGGCUAAUGCCCCCUGACUCCUUGUGCUCCACUAGGCCUCCACGGCCAUGAGGGCUGCGUUGCUGCUGCCAGCCAAGGAGGGCAGGGAGGCCUGCGUCUGAGGCCAGGGGAUCUACAGGAGUGACUUUUAGUGCUUUCUUGGCCAAUAACUAUGGUAAAUUCAGCACCCAUGACCUGAUAAGAGAAAGGCAUAUAAGGAUCAGACCUCUUGGGGAUAAAGGUCUUUGUCACUGCACAAAGCAAGCAGCUUAUACCAGCCAAGUGCUGGCUGGGAAUGAGGGCAAUGGCGAAUGGGUGGUAGAAAUAGAUGAUGAAUAUCAAUCAUGACCUUGAGAUCAGCUGGGCCACUCACUCUUUUGCAUUAAGUCCUGGCAGAUGUUGUGGCCUUGAAUAAAGACCAGACUGGACUUAGAGGGUCCAUGACAGACAUGAGAGGAGCCAGGGACAUCCCUUGUGCCUCACUCAAAAUCCUCUCAGCCUCAUUCCCUACGCUGCUGACUGUUGCAGGCACGGGUUCUGCUCAGGCUUCAAAACAGCUCUGCUUGGCAGCCGUGUGACAGUGUCUGCCCCUGAAGCUGCUGUGCAGAAUGUCCACAGAAUCCACUGGCACUCACCCAGGGACAGCCUGGAGACGUGGGGGAGUCAGUGCGAGGGGCCGCCCUUGACCAAUGGAAGACAAGAGCCUCUGGAUAAAUGCUCACCCAUUUAAUCCUUGAGCAGAGAAAUCUGAGCUGCAUCACAUCAGGCUCCUCACAAAGGCCCGUGGGUUGGAGAUCUUCUGUUCCCCAUAACAGCAGCCAUCUUGGCCAGGCCUCUUUGCCUUUCCCACUUUUCUCCUUUCACUCCUCCGGUCCUCUCUCUCUGGGUCCCUGGCCCCAUAGAAACUACUUGCAGGUAAGCCUGCAUCUUGGGCACAGAUUUUAGGGGAUCUGAGGCUAAAAUAGCCAUGUACAAAGUGUGAGGAGGGGAGGGAAGAUGUGAAACAAUCAUUUUACAGAGUGAAAAAGUGGGCAACCAGAGAAGGAUCAUAAAACUAGCAGGUGAGCUGGCUUCCUAUUGGGGGUUUGCAGGUGUGUGCGUGAGGUAAACCCUCCAGCACCUUUAUAUUUUCUACCACAACUUUGAGUAUCAGGUAUAGUCACAAAAUAUGUGGAUAUGGAUUUAAUCUUGAAUGGGCUUUUGCCAGAUGAUUUUGAUGGAAAGAGAAAGGUAAGAAAAAUAAGAGAAUUCACAAAGCAGUAAUUAUAAGGGUGAGUCAUGGAAUUAAGCAGAACAAGGAGGCAAGUAAGGAUAUAAGGGGAAGAAAGGGAAGAAUAUGUAUAUAAUCUUUGUAUUUUGUAUCUUUAUACAGAUAUAAAGGCGGUAGGAUCAAUGGGUUGAUAUCAGAGAGUGGCAAUGACAGGGUUAGAGACACAAGUACAAGAGGAGUGUGGCUGAGGUGGAGUAGAGAUUAAAGAUUGCUGGAGGUGAGGAGGUCAUGGAACUCAGAGGGCAAGGUGUUGAAUGGGUCACUACCCUACAAGGUUGUUAAGUCACCAAGAAAGGUAAAAGGAAAGGGGUGGAAAGCCAGGUGCUAAAGUCAUUAAAGAAUGAAGGGGAGUAGGUUGGCAGAUGACAGUAUCAAGGACGGGUAGUGGGGCUGGCUCCAUGGCUGAUUGGUUAAGUUCUCGCACUCCGCUGCGGUAGCCCAGGGUUCAGAUCCUGGGUGCAGACAUGGCACCGCUCGUCAGGCCACGUUGAGGCAGCGUCCCACAUCCCACAACUAGAAGGACCUGCAACUAAGAUAUACAACUGUGUACAGGGGGAGUUUGGGGAGAUAAAGCAGAAAAAAAAAUUUGAAAAAAGGAUGGGUAGCAGGUGGUAAAAUGUAGCAUGAAUUUCAAAGAAUCUGGGGCUUUUGAGGAGGAAGGGAGAGAAUUGAUUUGCAAGUCCAAUGGGACACCUACCCCACUGUCCAGCCCUCCGAUGUAAGGAGAAUGGAGGUGGGGCCGGGAUGGCCUCCACGUGGGAGGUGGUAUUUGCAGGGCACAGCCAAAUUUCCAUUAAGGCAAGAUAUGAAGAGAUCUUACCAAAAAACACAAAAGAUAGAGGAGCACUUGCUGAUGACAGAUCCCGAGCGUCAGGGUACAUAGUAUGUAAUGGUUGGGAACAUGGGUGGGGAGUGAGAAACGGAGAUAAUACCGGCCCUGUAGGAUUAUUGCAAAUUUGAUGGAGAAUUUUACGUAAAGCGACCAGUAGGGUGUCUGAUGAAGAUGAUGAUGAUGGUGAUUGCCAGAAAAGCAAGAAUUAAAGGCAAAUUAUAGAUAAUGUCAGAAGAAGCACCGUCUAGGAAUCAAGGGUCCUCGAGUCUCAUCCUGGCUCCGUUCUCUAUUAACUCUCUGUGUGGCCUGAGACACGUCAAUCCCCUUUCUCUCUGGGCCAUGGUUUCUCCAUCUCUAAAAUGACAAGGUUCGAUAACACCAGUGGCUGUCAACUCCAAGGUGGCAGAGCGGUCACACAUAAAAUGUAGAUGAUAAUAUCCUGAAAUACUUUUUCAAAACAUGUGUGUUUGCUUUCCCCCAGCCCACCCCCACAGGGUCAGAUCUUGUUCUCUCGGGAUAAGGACCCAGAAUGUGCAUUUUGGAAAAGUCCCGCAGGUGAUUUACUAAUGAUACCCCCACCCCCAGCCCUAUUUUCUUUCUUCAGGGAAUUGCUUUACCUAGAAGCUAGUUUUUCCUCUCCCAAAUGUCAUCGCCUAGAAAGUGAUAGUGAGAAAGAUGUGGUUUGUCAGUCGGAGCUGGGUCAGAGCACUUAUCAGAGGGACCAGAUGCCCCGAGCUCUGCCCUUCGCGGGCAGAUGGCCAAAAAGCCGGCGGCAUUAUUUUUACAGCUUCAUUCUUUGGGCAUUUCUCCACGCAAAUGCAUAAGAAUAAGAAUUGAAUCAGCACAGCUCCAUUUUGUUGCUGUUGUUUCUGUUUUUUUGUUUAAUAUCAGCCCACACCACACUGUUGACCAGCCUAGGCAGUGGUUACCCUUGGGGAGGGGCGCCCCUUGGCCAGGCAUUGGGGGGAAACACAGGUGCCAUGAGGGGAGGGAAGGCAGCACACUGAGCCCAGGCCUGUGUCUCCAUCGCCUCUAUAUCCUCAGCCCCUACAAAGGUACUCGGCAAUAGUAGGGGCUCCACAAAUACUUGUUAAGCUGAAAUCUAAGGAAAAGCAGCAGUAGACCAAAAAGAUAGCGGUUUAGGGGAAUUCACUAGUUUUCAACUGCAGGAAAGAGGAUGGCUGCAGAGGACUCCAAUUUUUCUGCUGAGCCAAACUAGCAGGAAAGUUGAAGGACAAAAAUAAAUCACUGACAUGCAAGGACUCGAAAGAUUACCACCCAAAUGCCCUCUCCGAGCAGAUGGACUUGAGUGUUUCUAGUAAGAAGAAAAAGGAACCUAAGAGAAUGAUCAACGCAUAACAAAAAAGUGGUAAACCCGUAAACCUGUAAAAUGAAUCGUCAAAUCUAAAAUACGUUGUUGCUAGCACAAUGUAUGCAAUGAUUAAUAAAACUAAACUAGAACUACUCCUUGUCUUUGAUUUGUACUUUCAUUUUGUUUAUGAUAUUUUUUGAACUAUAAAAGUUUUAAAUUUUAAUGCAAUCAAAUUUUAUAGAUUAUUCUUAUUGUGACUUGUUUAGGAAAUCAUUUUCUACUCGAAAGUCAUAACGAGAUACUCCUCAGCCCAAAUAUUAUUUCCUUAGGAUAAUCUCCAAUCUCUUGAAAUAGAUCAUGUCCCAUUGUUACAUGCUGUUAUGAUACUGUGUUCUCUCCUUUAGUGCACUUGUCCCAGCUGUAACUGUACAUUUAUUUGUGUGAUUAUUUGACAAAAAGUCUGAUCCCCUCCACUAGAAGAAAAGCCCCACGUGGCCUCAGAUCAUGUCUUAUGUUCCCUCUGUCAUCAUUAUGGUUCCAGGGCUUCACAGAGUUCCUGUCAUAUAAGAGCUGACAUUUACUAAGUUCUUACUCUACACAGGACUUAUUCUGGGACUUUACAUGUACUCAUUUAAAACUCAUGACAAACACCUGAGGCAGGUCCUAUUUUAAUGACAGAAACUGGGGCACAUAGGGGCUAAGUAGCACAUUCAGUGUCACACAGCGUUCAAGACAGCAGAGCAGGAUCAAACGCAGGUGGUCUGGCCCCGUACCCUCUGCUUUCAGCCUUUAGCGUGUGCUUACUCAAAGGAUGGGAACUCAGCAAAUGUUUCCUGGAGACAAGGAAUGACGAAACCACAAUUUCAGCAGGUUCUCUCAGGAACAGAAAUAUCAUUAAAAAACAGAAAAAUGGUAUAUUUGAAUAACAAACUACAUGCUGUAUGUAAAACAAUAAAGUCAUUUCUAACUGUAUAUCAUAUAUUCUUUCAAAUAUUCUUGGAGCAGUAAUAAAAAUUUACUAUCUGUUAUGAUUCAAAAAAACUCACUAACUAUUAAGAAGCUGAAUGUAUUUAAAUAAAUUUAUUGGCCAAAUGCAAUAAUAGUAUAAAUUAACAACAGAAGGGGGCAAAAAAUCACCUGGGGGUUUGUUGUUGUUCUUUUACUUUCAAGUAUGAUUUACAUAGUUAAAUGCACAAGUAUUCAGUGUACAGCUCAAAGAAUUUUGAUGUAUACUUCUCAGUAACUGCCAUUCAGAUCAAGAUCUAGAACAUUUCCAUCACUGCAAAAAGACUCCUCAGGCCCCUUGCCAGUCAUUCCCCCACGCAGAGACAACACUGUCUGCUCUUGAGCUCUGUGCAAAUGGCGUCAUGCAGCAUGUACUCUUCUGUGUCUGGUUGCUUUCACUCAGCAGAAGGUUGUUGAAAUGCAUCCAUGUUGUUCACUGUGUGUAGCAGCAGUCCAUCCCUCAUGUAUUUAUUUAUUUCCCAAGUAGUAUCUCUUUGUAUGGAUAUAUUACUGUUUGGUAAUCUGGUUACAGUUUUGCGUUAUUACAAAUAAAACAAAUAUAAACAUU